rnacentral:tRNA from 1 species
GCCGGUGUGGCUCAGUGGUUGAGCGUCGGCCUCUGAACCAGGAGGUCAGGGUUCGAUUCCCGCACAAGCC